AAAGAAUAACUGACAUAUUUUGUCUAUAUGACUAACUUGAAUAUUUUUCCUUCAACCAUAACGAUUUCAUUUGCCUUGAGAACCCAUCUCUUGUUUGCAUAAAGCAGAAAAACUGAUUUCUUUUCCUCCAUUAACAUUCAAUCCUACGAAAAGUCCAGAACAUCUGCAUCAUCCUUAAGGAGGCCGAUGCUUCCAAAGAAAUCCACAAACUAUUAAUCUUCAUGAAAAUAAUAUCCAUGACUUCAUAAUCAGGAAGAAAGGCUUUAAGCCUUCACAAUCCAACCAUUUAAACCAUGAAGAGAAAUAAAAUUCCAUUCUAUUAACACGAAGAAAUUGGUAUGAUAUGCUGAAAUGGUUAAUACACAAAGUGUAAGAUUCUCAUAGAGUGCAUUGACUUAUGAUUAUGAAAAGCAUUCUGAUUGAGCCCAGCAUGCAGCAUAGACAUAAAAAUAUCUACAUGUCAAUGUACAUUUUAGUGGCUUUACUAGAAGGGGGAAAAAAGAAAGAAAGCUAUUCUAGAAAGUUAGAACCACUUUAGAUCCUUUGUUUCUUUAUCCAUCAUCAUUUCCCUUCCUCCCAUGGAUUCUGUAUACUUGUACCCAGUGAAAGUUUUUAUUUUUA
rnacentral:misc_RNA from 1 species